rnacentral:rRNA from 1 species
UUAACACAUGCAAGUCGAACGGGAUAAUAAAGCUUGCUUGGUGGUGAGAGUGGCGAACGGGUGAGUAAUGAGUGACCGAGAUGCCGCAUGCUCCGGAAUAGCUCCUGGAAACGGGUGGUAAUGCCGGAUGUUCCACAUGAUCGCAUGUGAUUGUGGGAAAGAUUCUAUCGGCGUGGGAUGGGGUCGCGUCCUAUCAGCUUGUUGGUGAGGUAACGGCUCACCAAGGCUUCGACGGGUAGCCGGCCUGAGAGGGCGACCGGCCACAUUGGGACUGAGAUACGGCCCAGACUCCUACGGGAGGCAGCAGUGGGGAAUAUUGCACAAUGGGCGCAAGCCUGAUGCAGCGACGCCGCGUGAGGGAUGGAGGCCUUCGGGUUGUAAACCUCUUUUGUUUGGGAGCAAGCCUUCGGGUGAGUGUACCUUUCGAAUAAGCGCCGGCUAACUACGUGCCAGCAGCCGCGGUAAUACGUAGGGCGCAACGUUAUCCGGAUUUAUUGGGCGUAAAGGGCUCGUAGGCGGCUCGUCGCGUCCGGUGUGAAAGUCCAUCGCUUAACGGUGGAUCUGCGCCGGGUACGGGCGGGCUGGAGUGCGGUAGGGGAGACUGGAAUUCCCGGUGUAACGGUGGAAUGUGUAGAUAUCGGGAAGAACACCGAUGGCGAAGGCAGGUCUCUGGGCCGUCACUGACGCUGAGGAGCGAAAGCGUGGGGAGCGAACAGGAUUAGAUACCCUGGUAGUCCACGCCGUAAACGGUGGACGCUGGAUGUGGGGCACGUUCCACGUGUUCCGUGUCGGAGCUAACGCGUUAAGCGUCCCGCCUGGGGAGUACGGCCGCAAGGCUAAAACUCAAAGAAAUUGACGGGGGCCCGCACAAGCGGCGGAGCAUGCGGAUUAAUUCGAUGCAACGCGAAGAACCUUACCUGGGCUUGACAUGUUCCCGACGACGCCAGAGAUGGCGUUUCCCUUCGGGGCGGGUUCACAGGUGGUGCAUGGUCGUCGUCAGCUCGUGUCGUGAGAUGUUGGGUUAAGUCCCGCAACGAGCGCAACCCUCGCCCCGUGUUGCCAGCACGUUAUGGUGGGAACUCACGGGGGACCGCCGGGGUUAACUCGGAGGAAGGUGGGGAUGACGUCAGAUCAUCAUGCCCCUUACGUCCAGGGCUUCACGCAUGCUACAAUGGCCGGUACAGCGGGAUGCGACAUGGCGACAUGGAGCGGAUCCCUGAAAACCGGUCUCAGUUCGGAUCGGAGCCUGCAACCCGGCUCCGUGAAGGCGGAGUCGCUAGUAAUCGCGGAUCAGCAACGCCGCGGUGAAUGCGUUCCCGGGCCUUGUACACACCGCCCGUCAAGUCAUGAAAGUGGGCAGCACCCGAAGCCGGUGGCCUAACCCCUUGUGGGAUGGAGCCGUCUAAGGUGAGGCUCGUGAUUGGGACUAAGUCGUAACAAGGUAGCCGUACCGGAAGGUGCGGCUG